rnacentral:rRNA from 1 species
CGUCUAUAUACGUAUAGCAUAUCAAUAAGCGGAGGAAAAGAAACUAACAAGGAUUCCCUUAGUAACGGCGAGUGAAGCGGGAAGAGCUCAAAUUUGAAAUCUUCAAGGUUCUACCUUGACGAAUUGUAGUUUAAAGAAGUGUUUUCUGUUAGAUGAGUAGCAAAAGUUCCUUGGAAUGGGACAUCAUAGAGGGUGAGAAUCCCGUAUUUGGUUAUUCCUUCUAGCUUUGUGAUACACUUUCAAAGAGUCGGAUUGUUUGGGAAUGCAGUCCAAAAUGGGUGGUAAAUUUCAUCUAAAGCUAAAUAUUGGCGAGAGACCGAUAGCGAACAAGUACCGUGAGGGAAAGAUGAAAAGAACUUUGAAAAGAGAGUUAAACAGUACGUGAAAUUGUCAAAAGGGAAGCGUUUGACACCAGUGUUGUUUUUCCGAAAAUCAAUUACGAAUGGUUUGAUUUUUGAGUAGUUAUGACCUUCAUCAGCUUUCUCACUUUCUUUACGAAGCUCUCUUAAUGCACUUUUCGGUUAACAAGUCAACAUCAGUUUCUUUUGUUGUAAAAGGGUAUGAGGAAGGUGGCUUUCUUUUCGGAGAAAGUGUUUAUAGCCUUGUGCCUCUGCAAUCGGAGAGAUUGAGGUCUGCAGCGUAGAUCCUUCGGGGUUAGAUACAUUUGUGCUAAGUUAUAGCCUUUCAUAGACAACUUGUUGACUAUGAUUAGUCAUUGUAGCUUACUCGCUUACUGCUAUUUUACCUACGCUUAGGAUGUUGACUGAUAUGUAGUCGUA